AUCUAUGGCCAUACCACCCUAAACGCACCUGAUUUCGUCUGAUCUUGGAAGUUAAGCAGUGUUGGGCCUGGUUAGUGCUUGGAUGGGAAACAGGUUAAGGAUGCAGGGUGAAGGGUG
ensembl:rRNA 5S_rRNA 5S ribosomal RNA